GGCUGGUCCGAUGGGUUAUCAGAACUUAUUAGUGUCACUAAAGUUGGUAGACAAUCCCCCACUGCUGAAUUUGACUUGCUUAA
rnacentral:sRNA from 1 species